UAUAGAGCUAUGUUACAUUGAAUGGCAAAAGUGACUUUGUAGAGGUGUCAUUUAUCCGGAUGCUGCAUGAUUAAGACCACCAUACUCUUACCAAGCAUACAGGUGUUAAUGUCUAUUUUAAAGAGGAGAGAACUCAAGAAGUUCUGUAGAAACUGCUUUCUUCAUCACAUCUCAAAGGAUUUGCUGAGGAUUUCAGAGCUGCCACGAGUUGAGAGAAGACUUCGGACAUUUCACUUAAUGCUGAAAAUUCACUCUACUGCCACUACUCAGGACUUCUGAUGGGCAUGAAAAUCCAAGCCUGCUUUAUGAUAUUAACCUCUGAAUUUCAUACACCGCUUAAAACUUUAGAAUGUCCAGAAAACACUGGUAGAAUACGGACACAUGAGACAAGGCCAGAAAGGAAGUCAAUAAAAUGUGAUUACUAAGCAAAUUACCACCAGAGAAGCAGAAGGAAAUCCCACUUCAAUAUUUUGAGAGACAGUAAAGAACAUUCCCUGGAGUUAGGACAAAUGAAGAGCAAGAAGUUUCAUCUUGCUCUGUCAUCCAGGCUGGAGUGCAGGGGCACCAUCUCAGCUCACUGAAACCUCCACUUCCCGGGUUCAAGCAAUUCUCCUGCCUCAGCCUCCUGAGUAACUGGGGUUACAGAGUGAAUAGACAACCUACAGAAUGGGAGAAAAUACUUGCAAGCUAUGCAUCCAACAAAGGACUAAUAUCGAGAAUUUACAAGGAACUCAAACAAAACUCAACAAGAGUAAAACAACCCCAAUAAAAAGGAAAGUGAACACAUUUGGAAAUAUUGGAUCAGCAUUGCAGCUAUACCCUUUAGACAGGAAACACACUUUCCAGUUCUCCUUGACAGAGAGGCUGAAGCUGCUUAUGUGUCCGGAAUUGGUGGGUUCUUGGUCUCACUGACUUCAAGAAUGAAGCCACGGACCCUUGCGUGAAGCAAUACAGGCAUUCAUGUCUGGACAAAAGGAAUAAGUGGACUACAUACAGAGGCAGAGUGAGGCUGGAAAAUACAUCCUGCCAUGUGUAUACAACCCAAGCUAUCUAUGGAGAUUUUUUUUGUUUUUUUGAGACAGAGUCUCGCUCUGUUGCCAGGCUGGAGUGCAGUGGCGGGGUCUCGGCUCACUGCAACCUCCACCUCCUGGGUUCAAGCGAUUCUCCUGCCUCAGCCUCCCAAGUAGCUGGGAUUACAGGCAUUUGCCACCAUGCCCGGCUAAUUUUUGUAUUUUUAGUAGAGAUGGGGUUUCACCAUGGUAGCCAGGCUGGUCUUGAACUCCUGACCUCGUGAUCCACCCGCCUCGGCCUCCCAAAGUGCUGGGAUUGCAGGCAUGAGCCACCGCACCUGGCCUAUGUAGAUUUUUUUGUUGCCUUUGAUUUUUUUUUUUUUUUUUUGCUUAUUCUGAUUCUAAUUGUACAAAUCAAUAAUAAAAAUGUUAAAAAUAGACUUAAAAUAUUCAUGACUAUGCAAAUGAUUCAAAUAUAGUUAUUUAAAGUUUCUUUCUUUUUUAAAUUGGGACAAGGUCUUGCUCUUCAACCCAAGGCUGGGUGGCAUAGGUGAAAGAGCAAGAACAAGGCAUGACCAAGGCUCACUGCAGCCUUGACCUCCUGAUCUCGUUAUCCUCCCACUUCAGCCUCCCAAGUAGCUGGAUAUAGGCAUGCACCACAGUCCCCAGCUAAUAUUUUAAUUUUUGUGUGUGGAGACAUGGUCUUGCCCUGUUGCCCAUGCUGGUCUUGAAUUCCUGAGUUCAAGUGAUCCUUGCUUCUCAGGCUCCCUAAGUGCUAAGAUUAUGGGUGUGGGUGCCCAGCCAAAACAAUCUUCCUAGGGAAGCCCUCACAUUUUCAAGGGUUUUACCUUUAGUACCUCCAUAAAUUCGUAUCAAGCAACAAAAUGUACUGUCAAGGAACAAAAAAUAUAAAGGGACCUUAAAUGCAUAUUUCUAAGACCAAGAAGUCAGUCUGAAAUGGCUACAUACUAUAUAAUCCUAUAUGACUCCUAUAUGAAAGAUAUGACAUUCUGGAAAAGGCAGAACAAUACAGUAAAAAGAUCAAUGGUUGCUUGGGUUUGGUAUGCGUGUGUGUUAGAGGGCAGGGUGGCUGGUGAGAGGAAUACAUAGGUGAAGCUCAAGUGAUUUUUAUGGCACUGCAACUGUUCUGCAUGAUACCAUAAUAAUAAUAAAUGACAUUUUUCAUUUGUCAAAACACAUAGAAUGUACAAGAGAAAGAGUAGAACUUAAUGUAAAUUAUGAACUGUAGUUACUAUUGAUAUGUAAAUAUUGGUGUUCUAAUUGUAUCAAAUGCACCACACCAGUGAAAGACAUUAGUAAUAGGAGAAAUGUGUAUGAGUUUGGGAGGUUAUAUGGCAAUUUCUGUACUAUCUGCUCUUGUUUUUAUUGUAAUUUUAAAAUUGUGCUAAAAUAAAGUUUAUUAGUUUAAUUUUCAAGAGAUUAAGAAUGUAUGUUUAAAUGUAAUAAUAUAUAUGCAGAGCUUUAUGUCUAUCCAUAUACUUCAAGCCAAAUCUACUUUUGGUGAGUUCGUCUC
rnacentral:lncRNA from 1 species